rnacentral:rRNA from 1 species
GACGAACGCUGGCGGCGUGCUUAACACAUGCAAGUCGAACGAUGAAGCCUUAGCUUGCUUUGGUGGAUUAGUGGCGAACGGGUGAGUAACACGUGAGCAACGUGCCCAGGACUCUGGAAUAACCGCGGGAAACCGUGGCUAAUACCGGAUAGGUGCCGAGGCCGCAUGGUCUUCGGUUGGAAAGUUUUUGCGGUUCUGGAUCGGCUCACGGCCUAUCAGCUUGUUGGUGGGGUAAUGGCCUACCAAGGCGACGACGGGUAGCCGGCCUGAGAGGGUGACCGGCCACAAUGGGAAUGAGAAACGGCCCAGAACCCUACGGGAGGCAGGAGUGGGGAAUAUUGCACAAUGGGCGCAAGCCUGAUGCAGCAACGCCGCGUGGGGGAUGACGGCCUUCGGGUUGUAAACCUCUUUUAGUAGGGAAGAAGCGCAAGUGACGGUACCUGCAGAAAAAGCACCGGCUAACUACGUG